CACGCUGUAAACGAUGAAUACUAGGUGUCUGCGGGCGACCGUAGGUGCCGGCGCUAACGCAAUAAGUAUUCCGCCUGGGGAGUACGGCCGCAAGGCUAAAACUCAAAGGAAUUGACGGGGACCCGCACAAGCAGCGGAGCAUGUUGUUUAAUUCGAAGCAACGCGAAGAACCUUACCAAAUCUUGACAUCCCUCUGCCGUGCACUGUAGUGGUGCAUUUCCCUUCGGGGACAGAGGAGACAGGUGG
rnacentral:rRNA from 1 species